ensembl:lncRNA
GCCUUCGCCAGGGCUGCGCCUUGUCACCAAUCUUGUUUGUGGUCUUCAUGGACAGGAUAUCGAGGCGUAGUCGGGGGGAGGAGGGUCUACAGUUCGGGGGGCUGCGGAUCUCAUCGCUGCUUUUUGCAGAUGAUGUGGUCCUGAUGGCAUCUUCCGUCUGUGACCUCCAACUCUCACUGGAGCGUUUCGCAGUCGAGUGUGAAGCGGUCGGGAUGAGGAUUAGCACCUCUAAAUCUGAGGCCAUGGUUCUCAGCAGGAAACCGAUGGAUUGCCUACUCCAGGUAGGGAAUGUGUCCUUACCCCAAGUGAAGGAGUUCAAGUACCUCGGGGUCUUGUUCACGAGUGAGGGGAAGAUGGAGUGUGAGUUUGGCCGGAGAAUCGGAGCAGCGGGGGCGGUAUUGCACUCGCUUUACCGCACCGUUGUGACGAAAAGAGAGCUGAGCCGGAAGAACUAGGUCACGGGUACAAGCGGCCGAAAUGGGUUUCCUCAGGAGAGUGGCUGGCGUCUCCCUUAGGGAUAGGGUGAGAAGCUCAGCCAUUCGCGAGGAGCUCGGAGUAGAGCCGCUGCUCCUUUGCGUCGAAAGGAGCCAGUUGAGGUGGUUUGGGCAUCUGGUGAGGAUGCCCCCUGGGCGCCUCCCUAGGGAGGUGUUUCAGGCACGGCCAGCUGGGAAGAGGCCCCGGGGAAGACCCAGGACUAGGUGGAGAGAUUAUAUCUCUGCACUGGCCUGGGAACGCCUUGGGAUCCCCCAGUCAGAGCUGGUAGAUGUGGCCCGGGAAAGGGAAGUUUGGGGUCCCCUGCUGGAGCUGUUGCCCCCGCGACCCGACCCCGGAUAAGCGGUUGAAGAUGGAUGGAUGGAUGGAUGGCAGUGCUACAUCGUAUUGCUCAUAAACAGCCUAACAGGAGAAGAAACUUCCAAAAGACCCUCUUUGGAGAGAAUAUGUGGAAGAAAUCCAUCAGGGAAGGCUCUAGCGUCUUUCCCCUAAGCUCUAACUUUGGUUUAGCGACAAAAUAACAUUGUAGCAGAAUGUUAGGUGUAUAGUAAUUCAAUUACUAUGAAUAGUGUUUAAUUCAAAUUGCAAAUUGCAAAUUGCAAAUUUGUAGGAGAAAUUCCAUUUCUCCUACAAAUCUUUAAAUCAAAAGGCCACUGGCUGCACCUACUAUUUGUUUUUGUCACGCAGCAAGAGAGUGUGUUGUCCAGGCAAUCGGUUCCUUUUGUUCAGAUUUUAUUUACAAAGAAGGCAACAAACACAUACAAUUGGCUUGGCUGCCUUCCUAUGCAGUGCUCUGCCUCGCUGUCUCACUGGUAAAAAAACUGUCACCCAGGUGCAUGCUGGUCCUAUACCUGGCUAUGCCCUUAAAUAACCCCCAUGUGCCCACAGUAUUAUCCAAUUAAUUACUGAUCCAAUUACCCAAACAAUUAACCAAACUACACAUAAUUAGUGACAAAAUGAUUAAACCCAAUACAAAAAGCUAACUAAAUAGUAGCUCCCACACCACUGCUAAGUAUGCUCUUCUGCAUAAAUUCCUAACAUUUUAACACCAGCAUUUUUCAAAAACAUCUUUAUAGUGCAAAAGGAAGGAAGUUACUAUUUAGUUCUAGCCCUUUCCCCUUGGGAAGGAAAUAAUCCUAAGAAAGACAUCAUACACAACACCAGCAGUAGCUUCAUUAGGUCUACAUACAUAUUUGUGAUCUGCGUUAAAACAAGGAAUCCAUGGUGUGCACAGUGAUAAACGUAUAUACACUCCUGUUACAAUGCCAGUUCUUGUGAUGUAAAAAAACACAUGUCAGUGUUUCCCACUGUUUAUGUGACCUAUAAUGUAAACAAUAAAAGAAAGAAAAAAUCUAAAACUAAAAAGGUGUGCACACCCUCUCAUAAAUGGGAAUGUGGCUGUGUUCAGAAUUAAUCAAUCAUAUUUAAACUCAUGUUAAAUAACAGUGAAUACAGAUUUUACUAACAUUUUCUUGGUUGCAUCUUACAGCAAAAGCCAUGGUCUGUAGACAGCUUCCAAAGCAUCAGAUAGAUCUCACUGUAGUUUCAAGUGGUUACAAGACUUGGACUUGGAUAUUCAAUGCGGCACAGUUAAGCCAGGCAUCAUCAAGUGGAGAAAAUCUGGCACAAUAGUGACAUUACCAACAACUGGACAUACCUCCAAUAUUGAUGAAAAUACAAGAAAACUGGUUAGGGAAGCAUCCAAGAGGCCUACAGCAACAUUUAAAGGAGGUAGCAUGGAUUUCUGGCAAGUAAUGGCUGUGUAACAAUCGCCCGUAUCCUUCAUAGGUUAUAAGGAAAACAACCAAGACGAGCUAAAUUUUGCAAACGCAUGAGAGAAAAUGUGUUAUGGUCUGAUGAAACCAAGGUUGAACUUUUUGACCAUAAUUCCAAAAGGUAUGGUUGGCGUGAAAACAACACUGCAUCAGUGUGAGGGGGCUGUAUCAUGCUUCAGACUCUUUUUUUCCAGAUGGAACCGGGGCCUUAGUCAAGAAGGAGGGGAUUAUGAAUAGAUCCAAAUAUCAGUCCAUUUUGCCACAAAACCUUUAGGCUUCCGUUGGAAGUUUGACAGAUGAACUUCACUUUUCAGCACAACAACAACCCAAAGCAUACAUCCAAAUCAACAAAAGCAUGACUUUACCAGAAGACGUUUAAGACCUGAAACCAAUUGAACAUCUGUGGGGUGAUCUGAGGAGCGGUGUGCGCAGGAGAUGCCCUUGCAAUCUGACACAUUUGGAGGGGAAGAGUGUCAAGAUGUGCCAUGCGUAUAGACUCCUACCCCAAAAGACUGAUUGCUGUAAUAAAAUAAAAUAGUGCUUAAAAGAAAAGGUGUGCAUAUUCAUGCAACGAGGUUAUUGUAAGUUUUUCACAUUCACAUUAAAAGGUGGAAACAGUUCUGACAUAAUGUCUUGUCUCAUUUUUUUUUAAACAUCACACAACAUGGCAAAUUAACCGUGUGUAGACAUUUAUCCACUGUAUAUCCAUUUCUAAUACCAUUUUAAUAAUGUCGAUGUAAUAAUGGGACAAAAAUGUUUUCUUUCCUUGUAUAUGAAUACAUUAACAUUUUAACCCAUAGACACCAGGAAACUGUUAAUGAUAUUUAAGUAGGAGGCCUAACGCCAUUGUCCACAUUUUAUCACGUUAUGCCUUUUUUAUUACUUUGUUUUUUAAUUAAAUGAGUUUAAUAUCACGACUUUGUUUACUUAACAUGAAACAGUAUUGCAUCUACUAAGACGCCCUACAUCAAUUUGAAGAUCAAACUGGUAAUGUUGGCAAAUAAUAAUCCAUGUGAAAGUGUAAAACAAGCUGCAGUAUUGGUUAUAGCCUCUUUAGCUUAUUUGCUGUCAUUACUUAUGUUUAUUCUUUCUAAGAAUAGUAGUUAGUAGUCUAUUAUGAAUGCAAAUAAUUUCCUACAUUUCAUAAAUUCUGCUGCAGCUCCAAUUGAAUGAUAUGUGUGUAUUCACAUAACAAAUCAGUCUUUGCCUCUACGUGACACAGUCAACUGUUCCAAGACCCCCUUUCGGAAUGAAAUUCACUGAAGCACGCAAAGUAUUCUUUUCAGGUUUGCCCCAGCAUUUCAUCUUUUGAGUACUGAAUCUGUCUCUCCUUGUUUUUUAUUCUCUCUUCAUCCUUUUAUCCCUCUGUCAUAUUUGCUCUUUAUUCCCACUUUUUUUGUCUAGCUCUCAGCCAAAUUGGAGUUUUAUAGAACUGCGGCUUCAACAAAGUAUAUUAUAUUUAAAGUUUAUUAUUAGGUUAACUGAAAGCGCUUUGCUACAGCUUCGUCAUUGUUAUGAAAAAGUACUACUUUUUAAACUACUUAUUGCAUGGCUUAUAAAUCUAAUUUAUGUACUUUGAGAGGACAUUUGUCUGCCAGUAUGAUGACUUGCAUCUUUCAGAACUCAGAACAAGAAUUCCAAUUGGUACAGCUUUAUAUUUCUGCUGUUCAAUUAUUGGCACACAUGCUUGGUUUCUGUUGUAGAAUGCAUUUUUGAACGCUAAUAAUCUUUUUAAACCAAAAUCAAAAUCCUUUUGAUUAGUCCACUUUAGCUAGUUACGCGUUAUUCAUUUUUUUAAGUUUUAUUGAAUCAAUUUAUUUUGUUUAUCCUAUAAAGAAAAUAAUGAAAGAUACGGAAAGUCCAGCCUGAUCCCCCAAACCUGUGUAUGUAUACGAAAUGUAUACGAAAAUCUUGAACGUACAAAUUCGUAGUGAUACAUACAAAAUAAAUACGGACUGCAACUGAUGACGUCACCCUAUUCAAAGUGAAUGGGGACCUGCACCCCGUAAACACACUUUGUGAAGUCUAACGAUGUAAAAUAAACGUGUUAUGAUUGCAUUUUUAACGAGAAAUCAAUGUUAAAUUGUAAGAAUACAAUAUUAACCCUAACCCCCUCAAAAAAUCCAACAUGGCGGACAGACGUUCACUCAAGAAUCCAACAUGGUCCGCCAUGUUGUUCACUCAAGGGGCGUGGUUAACCACCGCCAGUUCGUAUGUAUUGUUACGAAUUUGUAUGUUCAAGAUUUUCGUUUUUACAAAUAGGUUUUGGAGAUCACGUUGGAAAGUCCCAGUACUUGUAGUGCCCCUUGUUCAUUCAAGCCUUCUGAACCUCGACAACCGCAGGGGAUCUGAUUCAAGUCACUGCAGGAAAUAAGUCAAGAAAAUAUAAAUUAUAUAUGUAUCAGUGCAAGGCAAUUGUUUAGCUCAGAGAACAAAUUACUAAGUACUUUACAAAAGAUGAACCAGCUUAAAAUAGAAUAAAAGCUGCAGUGCAGUUCAUGAAAUAAUGUAAAAAAACAUCCACUUCAUUCUGAAUCUGGUAUAAUUAAAAGGUAAAACGAAUAAGAAAAUGAUUUUGUCUUAAUUUGAAGCAGCUGAGAGUCUCAGCAGACCUGUAGCUUUCUGGGAGUUUGUUUCAGAUAUGUGGAGCAGAAAAACAGAAUGCUGCUCCGUGUUUGGUUUUCACUCUGGAAACAGAAAAGAGACCCGUCAGAGACGACCUGAGGGGUUGGGAUGGUUUGUAAUGUCGCCGCAGGACAGAUAUGUAUUUUAUUUGUGAGUGUUUUAUGAACCAACAGCAGUGUGAGCAAUCAGGACUGAGACUCCUCUAUUUCAAACGUCAUUGAAUCGCUCCUCAGAAAUAAACCUACAUUAGUGACAGUCUACUCUGACAGUCUGUGUGUUAAUUCUGUUUAAGGACAAUAACGCUUUUCAUUUACAUGUUUUCAUGUCGUCAUAACUAAACCAGUAUGGCUUUUUUUUAGCAGUUUAUUAGUUUCAGUGUAUAAUGCGGCAUUCACAGCAGUCUGUUCAAUGAAGAGACGUCUUCAAGCUUCAAUUAACGAGCAGACAAUAUUGUGAGGACAGCAGAAAACACUUUACAGAGCCAAGACAUUCAAAUAUUGUCUCCACGGAAAGUGACCAGCCACUGUGUCGGUGUCGUUAUUGGUUUAUCCACCAAAGGAACAUUUUAUAGAAGCAGAUAGAGGGCCAAAGUUAAAGUAAGAUGACAGGGAGCGUCAGAUAAAGAUUGUUUUUCAUCUUUGUUAUUGAUAAACUAAUCAUGCUGCCUGGCCAAAUCAAAGCCUAAUUUCAGAGCCUGUUUAUUCUUGCCUGUAGGAAAUCAAUAGCACAAUAUGAUAUUCUGUCUCUCUUUCUCCUUCUCAUCUAUAAUAGUGAUAAUAUAUCAAUCAUUGAGCUUCACCCAGUGAAUUAUUAUCUGUGUUGAAUUGUCCUUCUCUUUACGUAUGUGCUUUUUUUCUCCACUCUCGGGUUCGUCUUCAUCAUGAUAUCUUACUUUUUGUUGUGUUUUUCCGUUUCAGCCACACUUUGGAUGACAGCUUGGUGGUGUCAGCUUGUCAAUAUUGGUCCAUUACACUGAAAAAAAUGUACUAUUUACUUAAUAAAACCUAGGAAAGUUUUUGCACUUAGAAAGUGAAGUAAAUUCUACAAGGACGGUCAUCAAGUAAAUCAUACUUGCAGGAUAUAAGUUACUUUUACUAGCAAACCUAAGGUAAUUUACUGAUUAUUAUUAAUAUGGACAUUGAAUUUUACUCUGUCCUUCUUUGUAAGUUUUACUCAGACUCUGACUGCUUCAAACAGAAAAAUCUCACCUAAAAAUCAAUGGCUUUUCAAGGUUAUUUGAAAUACCUUUUUUAAUUUUUAUUUAUAGAUUAUACGUAAGUAACAUUUACACAACAUUUUACAUAAUUUUCUGCAGUUUAGAUUGCCUAAAUUUGUUCUCAAUGUUUUUGUGUACUGAAACAAUUACUAAAAAAAUAAAAUUAGGCAAUUGUUUAAUUCAACACCUUUAUUUAAAAAAAUGUAUAUUUUUCAAUAAAAUGUUUUCCAAAAGGUUUGCAAACACCAAGACAGCACUCACAUCUGUGACCCUUAGACAAUGGCCCCACAACCCACCAGUUGAGAACCUUUGGUUUAUUUUGGAAAUUAUUCUUUUCUCCUUCCUUCCUUGACCCGGAGACAGCACGCUUUAAUACAGUGCAAGAAUAUAAAUAACCAUUAAAACCAGAACAUAGACAACUGGCCACAUAAACAAAUGUGCCAUUUUUUUCUUUUAGUGCCCCCUUUGAAAAAACAACUCUUCAAACAUGUAGACUCAAGCUAUAAGCUUGUUUUGCAGGGACAGGAUCUUCGGGGACAGCUUAAGGACAUCAAGCUCUAGAAGAAGCUUUUGGAACACUUCAAAAGUGUACUUUAUUUUUGGGGGGUAACUCAAGUUCAUGGCAUAAAUGAUGGCCAUCAGCAGGAGACAGGCCUUUGCAACACUUCCACCGUUGUCAAAUACCUCAGUCCCUUCAACAAAAAUCGACACAUCAGCGUUGAAUGCACCUUCAUCUUCACUUGUGUGGUAGACACAGAUCCUCAGGACUCAGGGCUCAGCCUGGUCUUCUUGAGCUGCCUCUCUACUGAUACCCUGUAAAAUAUAUAUGGAUCCAUGUUCAGGUGCAUAGUACAGAUUAUUUUUUUCAUUCAAGUUACCAAAAACAUCAAUAUUUCGAUAACAGCUGAAGUUUGCUUUUACACUCACAAACAAACUGUAGUAAAUCAGGCCUUAUGGACAUCAUGUACCACUCUAGUGAUUCCUGAACUUUAUUUCCUGCCUCUCAUUAUUGAAAACACUGAAUAAUACUGUUGUAAGGGAGAGGAACAACCUCGUGGGAGGGACAAAAAAAGUGAUGUAGUUAUGACACUGUAUACUUAAUAAUAAUUAUAGUAUAAAAAUAAUAACUAUCUAUAAGUUUGCAGUUGCAUACCUACAUCUGACGUUUAUAACAAACCAAACCGUUCAAGAAUCGGUUAAAAAUUUAGCAAGUUAUGGUUAUUUAAAAAGUGCAUGUUUCACUACGUAAACCAACCAACCAACACAACGUAAAAAAACAAAAUAAAAAUUGUGACAAUUAACCUAAUAAAUACUACUAUACCAAAAAAUCAUUUUUUUCAGUGUACCUCAAUAACUAUUGGGUGUAAAUUUCAAAAUAUCCUGUAUUUAUCCCCAGGGAAUUAAUCCCAAUGUCUUUGGUAAAAACCUGACUUUCUGUAGUGCCACCAGCUGUCAAGAUCCCGGAGACAGGAAGACUGAAACGCAGAUUUAGCAUCAAAAAAUACUUUAUUACCCUAAUCCAAAUGCUUAGAGGCAAUUGGAGACCAAGAAGAAAAUGCAAACCAGACAAACUCUCCAACAUGACACACCCACAUAGACAAAAAAACUUACAAAGAGACAAGGAAUACAUGGUUUAAAAACACUAGAAAUGUGCUGGUGAACACAGGAGAAAACAAUCAGGGACAGGGCCGACAAUCACACUCACAGGGUGUCAUGUAAUAUAUUAUAUGAAGCUUAGGCGAAAAUUCAGUCAGGAAGACUGGACAGGCUGUGCCGUUCCCUGGUUGCCUUCUCUCUCCCUAGGGGCGCAUGGCCAGCUGAUUAGGGGCGGGGUCGGGUAGUAUCAGACGUGGGUGUCGUUACCGUAAACCAAUCGCAUUGGGGCAGGCAACCGUUAAAAACUGUUCUCCUCUCUUGUGCUGUCAGUUGUCAUUUCAGCACGCUCCAAAGGUGACCCGCCACCACCCCUGACACCUCCAAUCUACAGCAGAACCUGGCAUAGCAGGAGAGUUAUGCAACUUGGGCUCUACCACCACCACCACCAGUGUCUGGACUCCCAAGGGGAGGGAUAUGCCUCGUCUCGGCUCGAGAUCCCGGCCCCGGGUCUAUCCUGCGGCAGGAUGGAGUCCAAGCCCCAAACAACUUGUAAUAUCAUAUUAUACCUGUUAUAAUAAAGCAUUGUUCAAAUUUCAACAAGUCUCUCCGGAUUGAAAUAUAUUAAGUUCUUUUUUUUCCCUCGGGCAUCCAUAAUGCAACGGUUAACCUGCACUCAACGCCGGGUUUUCUUUGUCCUAAGUAACGUUCAUUAAUGCAUGCACGUUAUUCACUACACGGUCUCAUGCAAAUGUUUAGUCUCAUGCCAAUCUUUAGUUCUAUCAGUAUGGUGUGCUAUACAACCACUCUCAAUUUUUCCUCAAACGAUUGAGAAUGGUAGUGGAAGAUUUUCUCAUGCAAUCAGGAAUCAGUUAUAAAGUCUCUAAGUCUAUAAAGUUGUAUUUUCUGUUUAUUUCUUGCAAAGAAGAAGAAGUCUGCAACAGCUAUACAAUCGAUAGGAAGCAGCAAGCUUCUUCUUAUUGUUUGAGAUCAACACAAAUAUAUUCAUACAUCGACAGGGUUAACAUUUUAGCAUAACAAGAUUUUGUUAAGCUAAAAGGAUGGAGGCAGGCAAGGAGGAUGGAGGAAGACCCGAAGGAAGACUCAAGGUGCUUACAACAGACAUUAUGGUAGUAUUAUAUUUUUACCAUUACAUUCCACUCUUUUGAUUACAUAAAAAUCACACAAUAUGCCUUAAUAUAAUAUGCCUAAUCUAACACAUCAUGAUUUGUAUAUCUAGACACCCUUUUUUAAACCUGUACCUGGCACAGAACAGGAAUGUGGACGUGUUUAUACAUACAGGACUAUCAAAGUAAAGGCAUGUUGAAGAGCGCAUAAUAGUGUGCUCAUCCCUUUUCAUCAUCAUUUAUUGCAAUAAUUGUUUCAUCUUUCUAAAGCUGUAGCACAGUAAAAAUAAUGUUUCCCUCUGAGAUGUAGUGGGCAAGAAAGUAUAAGUACUUCAGCAUUGUUGACACGGGCGUGUGGCGGAGCCAAAUGCAGCACAACGGCACGGAGUGUUCGGUUAACGCUUUAUUUGAACACGGCCUCACAGCAGGCGUUCGGGCACAAUGAGAGGCAGAGCAGAGUGCGGUCCUCAGGAUCGGGGAGGAGAUGCCGGGAGACAGCUGGUGCGAUCGCUGGGGCCGGUCGGGGAUCCGGAGCACAAGGGCAGAAGCGCCGGGCAGUCCAAGGGGCAGGCAACAGAAACCCGAGGCGCUCAGGCAGGACUCGUGGUCGGGGACAGAAGGCUGACGUGCUCACCGGGGCGGAGACAGACGAACGGGUCGGGAACAGGCAGGGUCGAAACCGGGAGAUCAGUCCGAGGUAGAGUGCUGGAGAGACUUGCAUGACGCGAAGAACAAUCUUGCAAUGACAGUCUUUUGAGAAUCUCAAAUGGGCCAGUGAACUUCUGGGCCAGUUUCUUGUAGUCGUCGCGAAGGGAAAGGUCCUGGGUCGAUAACAAGACCUUCUGGCCCACCCGGUAAGUGGGCGCAGUGGAGCGUCGGCGGUUAGCAGAGGCGGAGUAUCUAGUCACCGACCGCUGGAGGUUGGCCCUGGCCUGGGCCCAGGUGCGCCGACAUUGGCGGAUGAAGGUCUGUACGGCUGGGCAGGAGACCUCCCUCUCCAGGGCUGGGAACAGGGGUGGUUGGUACCCAUGGGCGCACUGGAAUGGGGAGAGGCCGGUGGACGAGCUGACCAGUGUAUUGUGGGCGUACUCCACCCACAUUAGUUGUUUGGACCAGGUCGACGGGUGGCUGGAGACCAUACACCGGAGAGACACCUCCAUCUCCUGGUUCUUCCGCUCCGUCUGGCCAUUGGACUGGGGGUGGAACCCCGAGGACAGGCUGGCCGUGAAAAAGGCACGACUCAAACGCAGAGUUUAGCAGAGAACAAAAAGGGACUUUAGUCAAAAAACUCAAACUCAAAACUCCAAAAAGGCACCAACGAGGUCAGGGAACAGGAGACAGGAACAUGGACAAGGACAUGGGCUUCUGACAAGUAACAACAAGGAACAAUGACGCGACAAGUAACAAGAGACACACAUGGCUUAAAUACACUAGGGAGGACAGGUGAUUGGAUACAGUUGGGAACAAUCAUGACAUAACAAUCACAGGGAAAGACAGGACAAGGCAGGAAGUGACGUGACCCAGGGAGAACAGAGGCACGAAACUACAAAAUAAAACCAGACAUGAACCCAAACCGUGACAGAACUCCCCCCUCAAGGCCCAAAUUCUAGGUGGCCCUAACCUGACAGGAACAGACAAGGGGCGGGAGGGAGGCAAAACAGAGACGAAGGUCGGGCCACCCGGGGGACUCCGGGCGGGCUUCUUGCGGGGGGUCAGUCGGCCGGGGAGCCUCUGGGGGUCGGUCCGUUGGGCCGUCAGGAGUCUGGCUCCGGGGCGCCGACUGCGGAGCGCGUGAGGACGCCGGGGUCACCUGCUGGGGGCGCAGGAAGUCUUGGGGCCGGGACUGGCCGAGUCGGGGCCUGGAGUCUUGGGGCUGGAACCGGGGUCGAGGCCUGGAGUCCUGGGGCCAGAUCAGGAGGCCGCUGCGGCCCAGCGCGGGACGUGAUACGCUGCGGCCCAGCGGGGUCGAGGGAUUGCUGCGGCUCAGCGGGGUUGGGAGGUCGCUGCGGCCCAGCGCGGAAGUCUGUGCGCUGCGGCCGAUCUGCCAGGAACCCCAGGGAGGACCUUUCCCCCAUUACGGGUGGCCCACGGGAGACUGCAUCGACCGCCCAUAGCCAGACGGGUUCCCCUGAACUCUUCCCGGGGAAAAAACCCUGCUGAGACCUUAAAAGGUUGCGUCAUUGUGUCAGGAAGGUAUGCUGGGGAAAAAGGCAGGAAUCAAACGCAGAGUUUAACAGAGAACAAAAAGGGACUUUAUUAGUCCAAAAACUCCACACACACGAGGUCAGGGAGCAGGAGACAGGAACAUGGACAAGGACACGGACAUGGGCUUCUGACAAGUAACAACAAGGAACAAUGAUGCGACAAGUGACAAGAGACACACAUGGCUUAAAUACACUAGGGAGGUGCAGGUGAUUGGACACAGCUGGGAACAAUCAUGACAUGACAGACAAUCACAGGGGAAGACAGGACAAGGCAAGAUGUGACGUGACCGAGGGAGAACAGAGGCAAGGAACUACAAAAUAAAACCAGACAUGAACCCAAACCGUAACAAACUUAACGUUCAAUCAAUGUAAGAAUAAGAACAAAUAAACAAUCCUUAUUUUUAGAAACAAGCUAAUUUGGCAAGCUUAUAGCAGUGACAGGUUAGACAAAUACUCUGCAUUUUGUAUCUGCUUAGGGUUUCUAAGAGGUUAAUGUGGCUUAGUUCAAAAUGUGAUUCAUGUUUUUUGUAAUAUCGGAGUACAAUGCUGUGACAAACUGAAGCCUGGGUUGUAAAUUGAAUAGAGAAGGCGACUUUCCUGUUGCCUCCAGUGGUGCCCAAAUCCUCCAUGUUCACUCUCACUGUCAGCAGGCAGGCAACCGCAGUGGUUUAUCUGUCCAUUUCAAGCCCUCACUUCUCCCCUGAUUACGUAUUACUAAUGGGUGGGAAGCAACGUAGCAACUUCUUCUGGUUGGCUGAAAAUAUAGCCCAUAAUUAGCAUCAACCAAUUAGUCUGACUAGUCUUGUGCUAUUGACAGACAUGAUCACAAGCACACUUAGUGCUACUUUGUUUUAAUGAGCCUUUCUUUAUUAAAUCAAAUAAUUCAAUAAACACUGAGGGUUCUUGUUUGCUCUGGAAGUGGGAAGGUAAAAAAGAGAGAGAGCGGCUGCAUUAAAAACUGAGCUCUAUUCAUCAUUACUGGAGUGCCGCCUUAACAUUGUAAAGCAUCCAUCAGCAGCCGUCUAAUGAGCAUUAGGCCACUUCAUCAGCUUCACGACAAUCUGCCUUCUCAUUCAUCUCAGAACAGGAGGCCUGUCUGUUAACAUCACCUCUGAUAAACAACCUCACUCAUAGUCACACACGCAAGCACACACGCGGAGACACUAGAUUUAUCAACACACUCAAACCCAAACUGACAAUUAAUGAUGACACGUAUCUCACGUAGUCUCACCAGUUGAUGGAAUCUGUGAGAAUGUCCAGGGAAAAUGUUUUAUAUAUUUAUUAGGAUAAUAUAAAUUUACUUUGACAUGAGCUUUGAUAUAAUUAAAAUUUACUAAUACAUACAUGACAUCUUAAGUUUUUUCAUGAUUCAUUGUUGACAGAGUUCAAGGUAUUAUAUAGGUAGUUUUGUGUUUAUCUUUUUAUAACUCCAUAAAUGAGAAUAGUCAACAGACUUAAAAAUGUGUAUAUAUAUAUAUAUAUAUAUAUAUAUAUAUAUAUAUAUAUAUAUGCCCCGGGUUUUUCACUAUGAAACUUUCCUAUUUGACUUGAUUGUCAAAUUGAUACAAUUUGACAAUUAUUUUCUGAAAAUCUAUGUAUAAAAAUGCACACAAGGUGUUAUCUAAUAGUAACUUUGUGUGAAUGUAGGAGAAAUCGAUGGACUGUAAGGCAAACAACCAAAUAUGUAGAUGUUUUUCUUUGCGCUAGUCUGAAAGAAGUCAUUUCAAGCCAAAUCUCCGAAACUUUGACAAAUGCAUUUAAGAUAACAUUUUUGGUUUGGUGUUGGUCAGUUCUGAUCUCCAUAGCUCUACCUGCUGCUACCUCCGCUGUUGCUGUUCAAAUCUCACACUGAAAGUCUUUGCUUCCAUCCCUCUGUUUCCCUCCUUUUCAGUGCCAGACAUUCUGUUAAUGUCUCGCUCUCUCACCCUCCCAAUUAUCCACUGGCCGUCUUUGAGGAUCUUUCCUGACGCUACAAAUGAGGAAUUACCCGUUGCCAAGUAGCCUGCUUAAUGUUACCUGGCAUCUAUACUGCUCAGAAAAUGGGGCACCAUAGUUCCUUUAUCUUCCUAUCAUCCAGAUCAAUUACCUUAAGAAUGAAGCACGGUUGAGUUAUAAAAAACAUCCCAAUGUCAAGGAUGCGUGGGAAGGCAGGACUCAAAUGCAGAGUUCUUAAACAAAAGAGACUUUAAUAGUCAAAAAGGCAAAACGCAAAAGGCCAAGGGGGAAAAACACACACAGGAACCAGGGGAAAAACUGCAGCCAGGAACUACGAACAUCCAGGACCAUAGACAAUGACGUAAACUAGUGACAAGAGACACAUACUGCUUGAAUACACUCGGGAGGUGCAGGUGAUUGGACACAGGUGGAAACAAUCAGACAAUCACAGGGGAUGACCGGACAAGGCAGGAAGUGAAGUUACCCAGGGAGACAAGAAGCAGAAAACUAAAAAAAUAAGACAGGAAAUAAAACCACACCGUGACACCCUUUCUACCCGAGUAGAAAGCGUUGUGAACAACUUCCCGCUCCAAAUUCAGUGACUGGAGUAGCGAGUCAUUUUCAGAAAACUUAAAUCAUCCGUGAAUUAGACUUUUUGUUUUGUAAUUCAGAUGAAUCACAAAAAAUAUAAACAAAUAAAGAAACCCAUUUUCUCUGCUUACAAACAUAAUGUAAUGGAUCUUCUGCUGUUUUUGUGUCCCUGUUGUGACUAAUGGUUUUCCGCCUUCAAACGACCAAUUAAUCUGAAGAGAAGCUGAUAACGUGGGAGACUGAGGGAGUCGGAGAGACUCGUUGUGUUACUGCUACUUAGAGCCACAAGAGACCAGUUAAGUGUGUGUGUGUGUGUGUGUGUGUGCGCGCGCGCAUUCAUGUGUGGCAAUAGUUGACCUAUCCUGUUUGAAGCAGAAACGUAGGGACUCCAGACUUCUAGAAAGGACUGCAGAACACACAUAGACACACGAUGUGGCAUGUUGGCAGUAGUACAGAGGAUUGAGGAUCAGUGUUUGAUCCACACUGACCUUUAGUUUGGAUCAAAGUUACCUCUCCCCUCCUGCUAAUCCAUGUAUGCAUAUCCCUCUUCUCCUCGAUCCAUCAGCAUCCUGCUUAUCUUGCUCUCAUUUCAAUCAGUUCAAUAAAAGAAGACAGUGAUGAUUUAGAUAAUAUAAUGACUUGGCUGAAUUAGCUUUUUCAAAAACAUACAUGGGAAAGUUUCCUCAAAAUGUUUUUGACAUAACAUAUAACGUGUUCUACGAAGCUUCCCAUAUUUCUAUAGUGAGUUAAGCUUAAAAUAAGGACAGCCAGCAUACUGCAACCCUGCCAGAGCUGCAGUGAUAAUGUUCCUCACAGACACUGUGGCAAACCAGGGGAUGUGGAGGCAAGAUUUCCGAAUCAGAUAGACAGACACAUUAGUCCAAUGACAAAAAUGAUCCUUUUAUUUGAUAACGUAGGGGAAAGGGUCUAGGGUCGGAAAACAACAAAAUACUCCUCCCGGUCGGGGUCUUAGAUCCUUAACGAAUUGUCUUGGGGAAACCCAGAGAUAGGGCCCGAAGAGGCAGAAUGCUAGCCCUGGUUUGCCACAGCCCCUUGUUGAUGCAUUUGUUUGUUUUAAAAUAUCACAGAUCACUGAGAAGCUUCACUUUUCUAUGUUCAUUGCUGCAGAGAUAUGUUAUGUCUCCUGUACAUGCAUGUUGGGAUUGAUAACAUUCUAUGUAAUAUUAUAAGUUCAUCAGUCUCAAACCCAAAUUAUUAUUAGUAUAGAUUUUCAGAUGUGUUGAGAAAUGAAAUAAAGUCUAUGUGACCAGAGUUAUUCUGGUUGAACAUGUGUUUCUGAUUGACCCCAGAUGGUCAAUUCUUGUGCAUAUGAAGACCUAGGUCCAGCAUGCCUUCUGUGUGAACAGCAUCAUAUAUGGAUGUAUGUAGGUCUUGCAUGUGUCUGUGUUCUCUCUGAGUAGUCUCUGGACAAAUGGACUUGAACAGAGGUUAACAUCUGUUUAGCUUAGUCUCCAGGAGGCCAGAGAAGCAUCUACAAUGCCAGACAUUUUGUGUCUGUCUCUCUAUAGUACAUAUUAUGCACAAAAGAAACUCACAGCAAGACAGACUUACAGGUGCGCAAACAUGCAAUUUGCACACACAGAGCAGCCUCCAAACAACCCUGUUAGUAAUCAGGGUGUCUCCUUAUUUAGUCUUCUGAGACUUUUGAUUUACUUAAAAUGUGUAUUUUAGAAUUUGGAACAAAAAGCAUUAUUAAAUAACUUAAAUAAUAAUUUGGUGGAUGAUACCUCUUUGACAAAUUCAACGUGCACAGAGAAAACCUGAUAAAUUGCCUGCAGAGGAACAGAGGUGGGUCUUUGGGUGAGUGGACAAACAACGAGGCCAUUACACACUACUGUCUGACGUGUGCCAGCGAUUAAUGAGAAUUAAUGGGAAAUAUAAGUAGCUGCUUUCAGGGAGUCAGUGUAGGAACAACACAUUUUUGUCCAAGGCCCAAACUUCUGUAACAAUCUGCUGUGAGACUAAAGAGGGUCAAUAUCAUUUUUGUUCCAGGUGUAAUAUCUAAUAUAUAACUAUCUUUAGAGUGCAAAUCUAGUGCAGUGGUUCAUGACAUGUUAUGCCCCAGACAGCAGUGGACUCCAGGCCGGAUCCGCAGUCAGCCCGCCAGAUCCAGCCUGGAGUCCGCUCUGGUUUUGGCCAUACGCACCGUAUCCGCCCCGCCUACUAAAAUAUCAUCGUCAAAGGGGGGACCUGCUGAGGACACGAUUUGGGUACAGUUGCAUGUGUCCUAGAUUUCGGCGGCCUGUUACGUGCCUGCAAUAUUUGAAUUGGGGAAAACGCGGCAGGCACAAAACAGGCAGCCUGGAGGAGCGGGUUUCCCCAUGCUUAGUAGAUGUAGGGUCUCUUUGUUGUGCGCAUUGUGCUGUGCUGAAAGAGGAAGGUAAAGUUGCAUGCAGAUCUCAUUGUGUUGUAUGAGUCACUUUGGCUACAGCUAUGCUGUGCGUAGGUAAAGCUAACCCUGGCAAGUACUUUGUGUAAGCUUGUCUUCAAUGUGUACAACAAGCCCAUUUCUGUUUAAUCACAUUUUACUGCACGCCUCUGUUUUCAAGCACUAAGUUAAUUCACAUACUCCUGCCAAUAGAGCAUUGUUAAGUAUUGAUUUCUAAAGUUAAACAGAAAGUUGUAUUUCUGUGACUGACACUGGUCGUUUUUUUCUCUUAAUAAUUCAGGCUGUUCUACUUUAUUGAGUUCAUCAGGAACCAAACCGUAGCAGUGGUGCUACAGAGGUGAUAGAAGAUAGAAUGAUGGUGACUGACUUUGGCCUUGUUACAGGGGGGACAGAAGAGUGGACAGGGCCUCGUUACAGGGGGGGACCGAAGAAUGGAUAGGGCUGUCCAAAAUGCAGAGGAACUGGCCCUAAUUUAUCUUGUUUAUAAUUAUGAGGGGAAAAACAUUUGAAUUUAUUCUGUUAAAUUCUGUUAUUUUGACUUUAGGUCAUUACUUCGAAGUAAGACAAAGGAUGACAAAAUAUACAGUAUUGCACACAUCCACUCUACAGCAGGAAGAGGCAAUUCCUAAUAAAGAGAAAGCCAAAGCCGGUGUGAGUAAGAGCUGCCCUGUGAGGCGGGGGACUUAAAAUCUAAUAAAACAUAAGAUACAUUUAUAAAAAAAAAGAUACCAGCAACGCCAGAAAAGUUGCAGAGUCUAGGUCUCCAUAAAAACAGGUUAUUUUUCACCAGAGGAAGAACAGCAUGGAUCACAAGACUUAAAAGCAUGGUUUAAAAGGAGGAUUUUAUUUUUAACUAAAAACCCAUAAAUAACUACAAUUGUAUUAAAAGUCCAGCUGGAACAAAGUGCUAAAAAAGAUUAAGGCAGUUUGAUGGCAUUUUUUUUUUUAAACAUUCUAUUGCAUAUUAGAUAUAAUAUUACUGUUUUUAAUCUAUUUUAGAGUUCCUCCCUGGAAACCAUCAAAGGACAUGACACAAAUCAUGUCACAUAGGCUGCUCAGUGGGGAUGUUGAGAAGAGCAUUGAAGAACAAUCCGGUACAGAUUCAAGCCGGACAUGGGCCGGAUCUUCAUCUUGGAUGCUGAUGCAUCAAGACUGCCCCAAGCCCAUCUGCAGCCAUAUCAUGUCUCACCGACUGACUUAAGGAGAUAAAGGCAUGGAUGAACAACUUUCUCCAGCUAAACAGUUCCAAAACCGAAGCCCUUUUUGUUGGCACUCCACGCCAGUCAUCCUCCAUCCAAAUGACUGUGCAAACAUCAUUCUAUCAUCUCAAAAGCAUCUUCAAACUCUGCCCCACUUUGACCCCGUCAGAUACAGAGAAGCUUGUCCAUGCCUUUAUCACCUCAAGACUGGACUACUGUUAUUCACUUUCAACUGGAAUCACUGACAAAAAUAUCCUGGAACUACAAUACAUCCAAAAUAGCGCUGCCAGGAUCCUGAUGAGAGUCCAGAAAUAUGAACACAUAGCACUCAUCGUAGGAUGGACACUCACUACACUGGCUGCCUGUCUCCUUCUGGAUUGACAACAAAAUUCUACUACUCAGUCAUGAAUAAAAUGUAUUAUUAUGAGCCCGCCCCGGAUCCUUUUUGCAUAUCAGUUCCGGAGUUUAUGAUACCGCCAGAGCGGCGCGGCUUGCUUUUGCUAUCUGGGGUUUCUUUAAGGAUGUCUUUAAACAGUUUGGGUUGUUUGUAUGUUGUAUGUAUACAAGCAGGGCUGUAGUGGAGGGUAAACACACGUAAACGCUGUUUACGCACCUCUGGAAUUUUGGAAAUAGCGUUUACGCACCUCUAAAUAGCGUUUACCCACCUCUAAGUGGCGUUUACGCACCUCAAAGUUACCUGCGCCUUGUAUUCUUCCGUUGGAAUAAACCGAAAUAAACUUGGUGUAAUUUUAAAACAGCUAAGACUACGUUUCCUAUUGUUGAACAUUUAAACGCCGUAGUCUGAAUCAUUUUCAUCUGCGCUGUAUUACGGUCUGUGAGCAUCCAAUCAGUGCCUUGCGGCUGCAGCAGCGACACCAAUCAGGAUCCAGGAGGUAUGUAAACACAUACACGUUGUGGAUUAGCCCAGUGGUCCCCAACCUUUUUUACCUCACGGACCAGUUUCAUGUCAGACAAUAUUUCGCGGACCGGUCGAGAAGGUCCGACGGGGGGGGGUGUAGUAGUCGUUGCGGGCGGAACGGCCGACGGGGGGGUAGUAGUCGUGCGCUCUGUGUUCGCUGGUCGUGCACGGUAAAAGGACAAGAAAAACGCCAGUGACGCGCGCACAUGAUUAGGAGAAAAUCCGGUCAAUUUUCAAAAUAAAAUAUAUAAGCUUUCUGUGGUGCGGCCCGGUACCAAACAGCCCACGGACCGGUACCGGUCCGGUGGUUGGGGACCACUGGAUUAGCCUGCCUGCCUACCUGUUCGGAAUGGAUUACCGCAAUGGAUAUCAGGCGAUAUUUGAAGAGACCAUCGAGUGCUCCCACUCCCACAGAUGCCCGCAAAAGGCCUCAAGUACAAAGUAAGACUGAAGAAGAUCAAUUCACGUUUUCAAACGUUGUCUUGGUUCGCACAACAUCGCAUUAAGACAGGGACAAACUCUAUUAAUAACGUGCUUUCAAAUACGAUGAUGCAGGUAACAAGCCAGCCUUCCCGGUCCCAUCUAAAUAGGCCUAAUAAAAUGAGUAAUUGUCCUCAUGCAUAUUGCUGCAGAUUAGGCUAAUUCAUUGAAAAAUUGUCGACAGAUUAUGUGCAAGACAGUUAGACAUAGCUAAGAGAAAUGCUAAGUGAAAUGUUUUAGUUUAGCUAUAGAAUCUUCCAUUUUCGCGGUCAAGGACAAAUAUAUUAGUUUUUUACUUUCAUGAUGACAGCCUGCUCUCGCAUAAAAAACGUGAGCGGGGAGCAAAACUGUUGCUUCACUGAAUAGGCCUAUAUGCUUAAUCAAUUAUUUGAAGUCAUGAAAGGUGUAGAGUAGCCUGUAAGCGAAAUAGACUGUAAACAUAGAUUAGAAAACAAGUCAGUUCUCAAUGUGAAAAAAAAACAUGCUGUAUAGGCUAUUUACGAUGACAUAGGUAGUACAUGAGUGUUCCUUUAACUUAUGUUGUCAGUGUUAUUGACAGGCUGCUUAACUGGUGUUCUCAGCCCCACAACUCUUAAAUUCAACAAAUUUUUUCAGGCAGUGAUAGGACAGGUAAUGAUGCAGAGAGCACAGGGAGAGGAGAAACACCAGGUCGAAUAGAGAGAGGAGAAGCACAGAGGAGCCAUGAACCCCGGCUCCUCUGUGCAAGGCAGGACCUGACGUGGAGGACAAGGAGGCCCUCUGGGCACUACUGUAAAAGGGAGACUCCAUAUGUAGAUAGUUCUUAAUCUGCAAUUGUCUUGUUGUGUUGUGUUGACAUACUUUUCUUUACUGUUUUCUUAAAUUUAAUAAACUACAAACUACUAACACAUUUAUUCACUGUCAUUGAUUGUAUAUGACUUUUACUGAUAACAUAAUGCAAUAUAGCCAGGACAACCUUACAGAGUCGCGACGCUUUGUGUUGCGUUGCUUCGCAUCGCGUCGAGGUCUGUAUGAUCACAAAAGUUUACCCACCUCUAAUUUUACCACUACAGCACUGUAUACAAGUUAUACUAGGGAUACCAAAACGGUGGACCCUGGUUUGGGCGAAAAGAUAUGUUCUUUUUUCCUUUUCUUAAAAUAAAGAAACGUUUAGUUCUGAUAUAAUUGAUUCUAAUCUCUUAAAGAGCCGAGAUUGAAAUUAUUCCCCAUCCAGUCGUGUGACGGACACCUAAUCCAUCUAUUUUCAUAUGAAAUCGCAACAUUUUGGCUGCCACAAUCGGUUACCAGUUUUAACCAAAAUGCAUCUUCAAAUGCUAAAACAUAACAUUCAGUGGACAGAACAAACAGUCUAAAUCACAUAUGUCAAACUCGCGAACUUCUGACAGACAAGAGGCUGGUUGUCUUUUUUUUAUAUCAAUUUGUUUUGCACCACACCCUCGUCGGCUGUACCGUUUGCGCCACUGCCACCCCCCGUUGUAACUUCCCCCACAAAGAAAGAGGUUGGAUUAAAUAAACCUUUAAUCAGUGUUGAGGCAAAGUUUUUAAUUGUGCACCCUAUAACAAAGAGUAGCCUGUGGCGAAGAUAGAUAGAUGCAGUGAGAUAGAGGGAGCCAGUGAGACAGAGAGGAAGAAUACUGUUUCCUCUGUCUCAUCCACAUUUUGACAUGAAUCAGGCUUGGUGGCGGAGAUGAUUUUUUUCUGAGCCAGGGGUCGGGGUGCUGUGGUGGCUGGACGGACACCAAGAUAAGUGUCAUGUUGAUGUUUAUUAUGCACAUUCCUAAAUAAAUGUAGUUAAGUUAAUAAUUACUGUCAGUCCUUCCCUGUCAUUUCCACCCCUCACUCCACCUAAUCAGUUCAUUCUGUAGACCUGCUAGUCACAUUCACCCUGUCAGCCCAAUCACUUACCUGUCUACUCUACUCACUCCCUUCAGUAUCUAAACCCCACUCACUCACUCGCUGCCAGAUCGUUCUCUGCACUUAUGCCAGACCUUCCUGCAUUUUCUCUUGGACAUAGUUCCCAGCGGUGUUGGCCCUGCCUGUCUUGGACUACCCCUUCUUGCGCCUGCCCUGGUAAUUCCCCCAGUCUUCUGUCCCCGACCACGUCUUUUCCUGGUGACUGUUUGGUUGCAUUGAGGAAAAUAAAAUACUCUGUUGGGAACUACAACUGCUGUCUGCCAUAUUGCAUCUGGGUUCGUUCUUCACCAGUUAUAAAUUACAGCGCUAAACUACACUUAACAGUCCCUGUAAUAAAGUAAAAUUAUAAAUGCAAAAUAUUAUACAUUUAAAAUACGCACUGCUGAAAGUUUGUAACCCGGCUGGCAUGUUUAACUCGGUCGACUCAAAACCAAGCACAUCACACCGGCCAGAAGAAACACUCACCAUGUCUCACAACACACAAAUUGUCAAACGACAACCUAUUUCUUGCCUCAAAUAUAUAAAAUAUAUUUUAGGAUACUAUUGAUGUUAAAUUGGUCAUCCGGUCUCCCUUAGGUUGGCCAAAACAGAGCACCUGCCUGGGAAUUCCCUUUUUCCUCUUGACUUAAUUACUACAAUUUCUUCUUAACUUCCCUGGAGUCAACAAGCGAUUAGCGCUUCUCGACAACACUGCAGGCAGCACCUCUGGUGGCCAAGGGAUAAGCUCGCACAGAGCGGCCAGGCAUUCCUAAUGGGCACUACAAUGCUGGAGUAGUUACUAGUAACACAGCCUGGUUGUUAUUAGUUCUGAGAAAUCAAUCCGGACUCACAUUUUAAGCACAAGAUGCAUCUUUAAUUGCACAUGUGUGCUGGGGACUAGAGGUGGAUACCCGACCCGAGCCCGUCGGUACCCGUCGGGACCCGAUGGGUUGGGCCGGGUCCGGAUAAAUAUUUAGAAAAUAUAGUCUGGCUCGGACACAUCAGCGCGAUAAGACAUUGAACAUUCCAUAUUUAAAAUAUCUUAAUAAGUAGUGAAGUCAACAUCUGCUUCCCAUGAUGUAGAACCUCGGUUCCCAAACAGCGCUUGUUUGUUUGAGCGAGUAUAUUUAUCUGUUGAUGCCGGAGUUUAAUAAAGGCAAGCUAUUUAUAAAAAAAAAACGUUUGUGAAUGUGUCAUUAUUAUGAACAGUUGAGGCAUCGACUCCGUCGGGCUCAGGUCGUUUUCGGACAAAAUAGUUUAAAGGCUGUCGGACUCGGGUCGGACUCGGGCCCAACUCUGUGGGACGCGGGCCGGGCACGGACAGAAAAAGUCGGCCCGAUCCAUGCUCUACCCGAGACUGAUGUACUUUGGCCACAUUGUAGUGUGAAAAAACUAAAACAUAAAAAGAAAUAAAAACCUCAUGAAUAAUUCAGGUCACCUCUUCAUGUUAUCUUCGUAAAAGUAGCUUACAAAGAUAUUGUGACUAGAUUUAAGUCAUAAUUCCAUCAUCCCUGUUUAAAAUUCAAUGAGCUUCAAAAGUCUUGUAAAUUAUUUUUAGUUGUUUAUAAGAAAACAUCAUGCUCCUUUUAAAUUGGUUAAGCUCUGUGUCCAACUUUAAUCCCACAGCUUCCUUUUCCUUCCUUUCUUUCUAUUAUUUUAAAAGAAAAUGCAAAGCUGUUCUACUUGGCCCGUGGGGGAAGGACAUCUGUCUUGGAAAAAUAUCCCCAAAUGAAUCCCGACUGAGGUGUUCAAGAUGUAAAAACAUUUUGACUGUAUACCGAUUUUUAUCUUGCUGGGGAACGUAGUCCCUUGAUUACACAAUAUAUACAUAUAGUGUAAUCAAGGGACUGGCAAACCAGGGGACAAAGGUGACUACACAGCACAGGGGGCGGAUCCCCAGGCACAGGUUGGGGGAGGGGAUGGAGAGAGUCUUCUCUCCUGUGCAGGUGCUGUAACCACUCGGCACCUGGCACUGGUGACACCUGCAGCUAAUUAAAGUGAGCGUUUGUUCACUGAACUGGGAAGCAGAACCUCUCGAGAGGAGCUGUGUCGGAUGGGAAGUAUUCCAGCGGGCUCACCUCUCUCUUCGGCUCUCCCCACACAGGGGGUAGACAUUGAUGCCAAAAGUUUUUUUUUUUUUUUUAUAGUUUGACACCAUCCCCCUUCACCCACUUAGAGGAUUCCUUUUGUGCCUUGAUUACUGAAUCUUGCCUCCAUGCCCUGGGCCGCUACGGUAUGCAAGGCAAGACACAAUAGCACCAUUGGUAAACUGUCUGAGCUAUGCAGAAUUUGGGCUCUGUUGUGUGAUUGAUCCAAUGUGGCAACAACAAUGAUGACCAGUGCUUCAAAGUGACAGGGACAGCCAAUGUGUUGCCAGCCCUUAGGUCUCUGAGACACACUCUGCGGCUGAGCAAAGGGACCGAGGACCAAACAGAAACACACGAGUGUUUGUGCUGUGUUUUUUUCCUUGAAAAAGGUCCAUCAUUUCAUUUGCACUUAUAUAGCUAUAUAAGUGCAAAUGAAAAACUAUAGUUUAAAAUUGUGUCUGUAGGGGGGAACAUUUACUCUUCAAGAAUCGUGGCACACGGCGCAUCAUUGCUUUCCACUUUUUGUGAAAUGACAAAAAAAAAAAAAAUGUUUUCAUUCUUGAACCCUGCAUUGACGUAUUGUGUCUUUAUACAUAGUCAGAUAUUUGCAUGGAUCAUUUUAUUAUUUGUAUUUGAUCAAAAUCAAGCUGAAAUUUAGGUUUUGACCAGAAAACAAGUUUACCUCUUCUCUAAUUACUUCAGUAAAUGCAUUUUAUUAGCUUGCAAAGCUCCUUCUGCUGAACUACAGCUACCAGCUGCUGGUGACUGAUGUGGAGCCGGAUGCCACCUACAUGACGGGCUCGUUCCACCAAUCACUGGCAACAGAUUUUCAUUCAGAAAGAUUUUUCACUCAUAACACACUGACCUAAAAAGUACUAGCAACAGGGAGAUUUAUGAACUUUCAAAGUUUGAACUAAUUUUUACAAACAGUAUUUUAUUAUAGAAUAAGAUUUGUUAUUACAUUACAGGUUAUUUAGCUGACGCUUUUUAUCCAAAACGACUUCCAUUACAUUUUUAACUCGCGUGCACCACAACUAUAAAAAGCCAUUAUCAAUGGAGCGCAGAUAUUACGAGUCACCAUGGCAACAGCGCCAGACAAAAAGAGGUCUUCAUAUUUUUCACCAGCAGAACUGGAUGUGCUUAUGCAAGCAUAUGGAGAGUACGAACAUAUAUUUUAAAAAAAAAGCAACACGGCUGCAGCGGCGAAGGACAGAGAGUUAGCUUGGGAGAAAAUAGCUGCUCGAGUCAAUGCGUAAGUUUACAUUUGAAUUACUGUUAUACAGUGUUGUGUGUAAUUAAUUUCUAUGUAAUCUAAAAACUGUAAUUUAAUUCCGUAAUUUAAAGUAAAAUCUGAUGUAAUUGCAUUAAAUGCUGCAUAAACUAUAAAGCAAUUCUGUAUAAAAC